GCUAGCUCUGAACUUGAGCGGCUGUUGUGCUGUUCUUGCGCAUGCUCCUGCUUAGAAAAACAAAAACGCACGUGAGGAUCGCGCGUGGACCGGACUGACUCGUCAUCUGACUGUUGUGGACAACGUCCAGCUCUUCAUCCGAUAACCAGCGUCUUCCCCUCUGACCCUGAGCCUCUGGAGGUCAAGUAGAGGAGGGUCAGUGUGGAGCCUUCAGGAAAGACCGGUGCCUUUAAACAGCAGCGCAGUGAAAGCAGAUGCUCACUUUACAACUGCCCUCUGGCGGCCGUGCUUAUAGGCGCAUAUAGAGACGGACGCCACACAGCCGUCAGCGCUGAGCAGCGGAAAACGGCAGAAAACGUGGCGUCGUGGAGACGGUGCUGCAGAUGAGCUACGCUCCAGGUCCAGAGGGAGGAUGGAGUCACAGCAGCACCAAGGACCGGCGUCCAGCGUUUUAUGGCACGCGCUGGCCUCUGUCUGCUCACAACCACAGUCAUAACGCAGACCUGAGCCCAGUCAGGGACCAGGCUCCAUUUUAAGUUCUGUGCCAUUAGUGGCUCCGAGCAGCGAAGAUUAGACGACCGGUCCAACCUAAAGGUCAGAAAGUGCAUUCACAUGCAAUAAAUUACUGAUAUCAUCACUGCCAUGGACCAGGGAGCUCCUGAAGAGCAGCCCAUUAUUUCUGGGGACAUGGAAGUGGUGCGGGUUCGGUCUGACACCACACGCCUUCACAUGACGAACAGCCAGAUAUCGAUAUGAAGCAGGAUGAGGACGGCCUGCGCUGCAGCUGCAGUCCGGCAUGACGGGUGUGGAUCUCUGGGCUCUGAAGCCACAGCAGAGCUGCAACCAAAGGAUAAGUCGACCCUGUGGGAUGAGAACGGACACAAGUACGACAUAAAACACGCGUAAACCCAAAUCAAUACACACGCAAUCAACACAGCAAUAAGUAAAUAGGUCGAGCGGAAGUCAUCAACCCAGAGCACCUGGACCUCUCAAACAUGUCAAUACAGUGCAAAUGCUCAAAUUAAAAUCCUCCAACCUGCUGUCUGUGUCCUGCAGAUAAGAUGAGGUGCGUGGUAAACAACAGCUGAUUUAACUGCUAGCACAGCGUGACCUUAGACACGGGGUCAGGGUCACCUCCUCAGCGGAGCCUUCAUCACGCAUGCACACGGCACUAAAGCGCCCUCAAACGCCACGUGAACGAACCGGCGCAGGGCUUUUUUCAGACUAAGCAGAACGUGGCGUCACUGCAGCAGCGAAGGCGCCUUGGGAGGAAUGCUUUAUGCCUCUGAGGGGUUCAGGUGCUUCAUUCACCUUGAGCUGCUGCACAGCUCCACUGGACCUUUCAUCAAACGAGACCACUGACGGAUGAAGGGUACGGACAUCUGUGUCAUAAAGUAUUUAGUGAAGACAGUCGGGGAAAAGGCUUCACAGAACACAAAUCUGCAGUAAUGUCCUAUUGGUCACAACGCAGCCGACCUUCCUGCAGGAAAAAUAAACAUCCGCUGAUGCUUAAAUAUUGAUUGAGUGAACAGUGAAAGGCAGAAUUUAAUUGUUUAACAACGAAGCUAGUGGGAGCGAUUGUCAUGUGGACUCUGAGGGCGUCAGGAGGGAGCGGUGUCUGCACUUUAAGGUGCCGUAAAGGCGCUCGUAUAGCUCAGCCUUUAUACAACCAUGCAGAGCAAUCAUCAAACUGAUGAGUCCCAGGAGACGGACGCUCACAUCAGCACCGUUAACAGCGGGAGCACACGCCUCAAAGCAGAUGCAUCUGGGCCACGAUGAUUUACAUACAAUGACCUAUUCUGGUCUUUACUGGUCAGCAAACUGCUGCAGCAGAAAACAAUUAUUAUUUAUAUCAACCCGGUGCCAAGACUUUUGAUUGAUGCCACAAGGCUCCCAGAGCAGAUUAAUGAUGGAUGUCCUGAUGCAGCAUGAGCUCAGCUGCCAGCGGCUCCUCAGGUUGUCAGUCGCUGCAUCACCUGCUUCACACGUUGCAGAAAUAAAUGGAGCUGUGUCACGUUCCCUCCUGACUGGACUGAAAUAGCUUCUACAAAUAUUGAUUUCAUGCUGUUUGACUUCGAUAAUCAUCCCUCUCACGACUGCAAGACAGUGCAAAGUUUUUAAUGGCAUUUUUGGAUGAUCACGUUCAUUAAAAUGUCCUUGACCACAUG